GCUCAGGACGAACGCUGGCGGCGUGCUUAACACAUGCAAGUCGAACGGGAAACCUUUUAUUGAAGCUUCGGCAGAUUUAGCUGGUUUCUAGUGGCGGACGGGUGAGUAACGCGUGGGUAACCUGCCUUAUACAGGGGGAUAACAACCAGAAAUGGUUGCUAAUACCGCAUAAGCGCACAGGACCGCAUGGUCCGGUGUGAAAAACUCCGGUGGUAUAAGAUGGACCCGCGUUGGAUUAGCUAGUUGGCAGGGUAACAGCCUACCAAGGCGACGAUCCAUAGCCGGCCUGAGAGGGUGAACGGCCACAUUGGGACUGAGACACGGCCCAGACUCCUACGGGAGGCAGCAGUA
rnacentral:rRNA from 1 species